rnacentral:rRNA from 1 species
UACGGGGGGGGCAAGCGUUGUUCGAAAUUACUGGGCGUAAAGGGCUCGUAGGCGGCCAACUAAGUCGGACGUGAAAUCCCUCAGCUUAACUGGGGAACUGCGUCCGAUACUGGAUGGCUUGGAUUCGGGAGAGGGAUGCGGAAUUCCAGGUGUAGCGGUGAAAUGCGUAGAUAUCUGGAGGAACACCGGUGGCGAAGGCGGCAUCCUGGACCGAUAUUGACGCUGAGGAGCGAAAGCCAGGGGAGCAAACGGG